rnacentral:rRNA from 1 species
UACGUAGGGACCAAGCGUUGUUCGGAAUUACUGGGCGUAAAGCGCGCGUAGGCGGACCUGCAAGUCGGGGGUGAAAGCCCGAGGCUCAACCUCGGAACUGCCUUCGAUACUGCGGGUCUCGAGUCCGGGAGAGGUGAGUGGAAUUCCACGUGUAGCGGUGAAAUGCGUAGAUACGUGGAGGAACACCGGUGGCGAAAGCGGCUUUCUAGUUUUUUCCUGACGCUGAGGCGCGAGAGCAAGGGGAGCAAACAGG